UCCUCACUCGCCGCAGAAGCCUAGAUUGUUGUCGCUUGGUGGAGACAAGCCUUGUUCGAGCUUACCUGCUCCUUCUGUAUUUACUCCGUCAUUUAGUAGUACAACCACGACCUGCAGACUUAGAGAUGUCCAUAAAUAUGACUACAAAUAGAGAUGAAAAAGAAAAACAAUUCAAGGCAAUUUGGGAUGAUACUACAACCGAUGCAUUUAUCCAUGCUUGUGCUGAUGAAUUCAUUUGAAAAGGAAUAGACCAAAUGGACAUUUAAGUAAAGAAGGAUGGAAAAAUGUUAUUAGAAUAUUUAGAGAGAAAACCGGAAGAAAUUAUGAUCAAAGACGAAUGAAAAAUAAAUGGGUUGUAUUAAAAAAAGAUUGGCAGAUAUGGACAGACUUGGUUGGAAACAACACAGGCUUGGGUUGGGAUUCACUAAGACAAACUAUUGAUGCACCAACUGAGUGGUGGGAAGAGAAUUUAAAGGUAUAUCGUUUAUUUACUAGAAAUUAUAAUCAUAAUUAAAUACUUCUUAAAUUAAUAUCUUGUAGGUUAAGCCUGAGGCAGCAAAAUUUAGAGCAAAUGGGUUGCAAAAUGCAGACCAAUUAGAUAUUCUUUUUAAAGAUAUUACAGUUACGGAAGAUGGAGCAUGGGCACCAUGCCAAGGAUUUGUACCUCCAAGUACUGAAGACAAUUCAUCUAGACAUGUAGGAGAUGAUACAUUUGAGGAUAUGAAGCAUAAUGAUACUAAUGAUACGGAAUAUUCAAUACAUACUGCUGAGGAUUAUACUCGGGAAAGGAAAAAAAGAAAAAGAAUAGGAAAAAGGUAAUGUUGCAAAUAAACUUUGUGAUCAUUGGAACGUGUGUGUGGAUCAAUAGAUAAUAGGAGAAGAAAUCUUCCAAGUUGUAGUAUGUUUGAAGUGAUGAAUGUCUUAUAAGACAUACCUGGAAUUAUAAAAGAUGAUGGGCUUUUCAUAAAAGCUGCAGAUAUCUUUACAAAAAGGGAAAAUAGAGAAAUGUUUGUAGCGCUACAAGAGCCUAAGAUUCAAGUUGCAUGGUUGAAGCAAAAGAAAGUUUGACAACCUUAGAUUAUAGAAAAUGUUUGCUUGUAGACAAUUACUAUUUUCGAGUGUUAUUUUUGUUAUGAAUGUUUUGUUAUGUUUUUCAUGACUAUUUUUAAAUUCCUUUAUGUUUAUCAGAUGUCAUCUGAUUAUUACAAUACUAUUAGCAAUGAUAACAAGAUAUUAUAUUGUUG